rnacentral:rRNA from 1 species
UACGAAGGGGGCUAGCGUUGCUCGGAAUCACUGGGCGUAAAGCGCACGUAGGCGGACUCUUAAGUCGGUGGUGAAAUCCUGGAGCUCAACUCUGACAUUGCAUACGAUACGGGCAGGCUUGAGUUCGGUAGGGGAGACUGGAAUUCCUGGUGUAGCGGUGAAAUGCGCAGAUAUCAGGAGGAACACCGGUGGCGAAGGCGGGUCUCUGGGCCGUAACUGACGCUGAGGAGCGAAAGCAUGGGGGAGCGAACAGGAUA